CCUACGGGAUGCAGCAGUGAGGAAUAUUGGUCAAUGGGCGGGAGCCUGAACCAGCCCAGUAGCGUGAAGGAUGACAGCCCUAUGGGUUUUAAACUUCUUUUAUAAGGGAAUAAAGUGCCCCACGUGUGGGGUUUUGUAUGUCCCUUAUGAAUAAGCAUCGGCUAAUUACGUGCCCGCAGCCGCGGUAAUCCUGAAGAUGCGGGCGUUAUCCGGAUUUAUUGGGUUUAAAGGGUGCGUAGUCGGUUCCAUAAGUCGGCGUUAAAAUCGUGCGUCUCAACCGUACCGUGCCGGUGAAACUGUGGGACUGGAGUAUGCGCAGGGUACAUGGAAUUCGUGGUGGAGCGGUGAAAUGCUUAGAUAUCACGAAGAACUCCGAGCGCGAAGGCAUUGUACCGGAGCAAGACUGACGCUGAGGCACGAAAGUGCGGGUAGCAAACAGGAUUAGAUACCCUGGUAGUC
rnacentral:rRNA from 1 species